rnacentral:tRNA from 1 species
GCGGUCGUGGUGAAAUUGGUAGACACGCCAGCUUGAGGUGCUGGUGGGGGCAACCCCUUCGCGGUUCAAGUCCGCGCGACCGCA